rnacentral:rRNA from 1 species
UACGAAGGGCGCUAGCGGUGUUCGGACUUACUGGGCGUAAAGGGCACGUAGGCGGGCCGAUAGGUCAGGGGUGAAAUCCCGAGGCUUAACCUCGGAACUGGCUUUGAUACUGUUCGUCUUGAGAUCGGCAGCGGUGCGUGGAAUUCCUAGUGUAGAGGUGAAAUUCGUAGAUAUUAGGAAGAACACCCGUAGCGAGGGCGGCUCACUGGCCCGAUACUGACGCUGAGGGGCCAAAGCGUGGGGAGCAAUCAGG